AUUGAACGCUGGCGGCAUGCCUUACACAUGCAAGUCGAACGGUAACAGGUCUUCGGAUGCUGACGGGUGGCGAACGGGUGAGUAAUACAUCGGAACGUGCCUAGUAGUGGGGGAUAACUACUCGAAAGAGUGGCUAAUACCGCAUGAGAUCUACGGAUGAAAGCAGGGGAUCGCAAGACCUUGUGCUACUAGAGCGGCCGAUGGCAGAUUAGGUAGUUGGUGGGAUAAAAGCUUACCAAGCCGACGAUCUGUAGCUGGUCUGAGAGGACGAUCAGCCACACUGGGACUGGGACACGGCCCAGACUCCUACGGGAGGAAGCAGUGGGGAAUUUUGGACAAUGGGCGAAAGCCUGAUCCAGCAAUGCCGCGUGCAGGAUGAAGGCCUUCGGGUUGUAAACUGCUUUUGUACGGAACGAAAAGCCCCGGGUUAAUACCCUGGGGUCAUGACGGUACCGUAAGAAUAAGCACCGGCUAACUACGUGCCAGCCGCCGCAGUAA
rnacentral:rRNA from 1 species